rnacentral:lncRNA from 1 species
GCUUCAGCUUGCAUUAGUUCCAGCCAGCAUAGCCCAGCUGUCAGGGAUGAUGGGAGGCGUAGGCUAGCAGCAUCUGGAAUGGAUGAGAUUAUUCACCUCUGCCCUAAAUCAUGGGUAGGCAAACUAAGGCCCGGGGGCCGGAUCCAGCCCAAUCGCCUUCUAAAUCCGACCCGCGAACAAUCCGGGAAUCAGCGUGUUUUUACAUGAGUAGAAUGUGUGCUUUUAUUUAAAAUGCACCUCUGGGUUAUUUGUGGGGCAUAGGAAUUUGUUCAUUUCUCCCCCUUCAAAAUAUAGUCCGGCCCCCCACAAAGUCUGAGGGACAGUGUACCGGCCCCCUGCUGAAAACAUUUGCUGACCCCUGGGGCCUAAAUGAUGGUCAGGGGUGCCAUAGGCAACACUGGCCUCUGCCCCUCUUUCCUUCCCUCCCUCCUCUGAUGCCCUCUUGCACCUCUGUCAGGCCACUAAGCCUGGGGGCAUCCGCUUCCCAGGCUCCUGGGGGGGGCGGCAUGAGGAGGCACCUCUCUUUAGGGUGGGGGGUGGCAGCUCAGAGACCAGGAGCGGCAGCAGCGGCUGCCUGGAGGACUCCCAAGAAGAGGGGAGAGGAGAGGAGGCUGAGGAAACACUCCAAAAAGGAGGGUGUUCGAAAAAGUGCCAGAUCAGAUUUGGAGGGAGGAAGGAGAUUGCUUCCGAUUCGGACAGCAGGUAAGUCUGAAAGGAUAUUGAAUAAACUCACCUAUUUUAAAUGCUACCUGCCCUGGGAUUUAUUCACUGAAAAACAAAUGAGCAUGAAAUCCGGUAUGUAAAUUCUCCAAACAAACAGAUGAGAGAUGAGGAUGGCAAAGGCAGGUGAGACGGAAGACUAAAAUUAGCUGCACAGGGAAUCAGGUACUGGGAAAAGAGAGCAAGUUUACCUGGCGACACUUCUCCGUGGUGAUGUCUUCCUGCAUCGUUACCACAUUGGGAAUGGGCUUUAUGGGAACCAGGUCAACCCCUGAAAUCAAAGACACGGGAGG